GAGGGUGUAGCUCAGCGGUCGAGCACAUGCUUAGCAUGCACAAGGUCCUGGGUUCCAUCCCCAGUGCCUCCC
rfam:Camelus ferus unplaced genomic scaffold scaffold327, whole genome shotgun sequence.